CGGGAAAGUAUUGUUCACUCCUUUACAGAGCCUUCAAUUUUAUAACUAAAUAUAUUUCGUCCAUAUAAAGUAACGCGAGCAUUAUCUCUAAUAAGAUACUCAACGACACAUCAUUGUCCACGUUUAAAAUUUCAACCAGAAUUCGUAGAAAGCUUCCGAUCUAGAUGUAAUCGUAUCUAUCAAUCCACAAGCAUAAAAGUAUUGCAAAAUAAAAGUGUAUUGUAAAUUCCUCAUACAGAAGUAAGCCGUUUUCUGGUAAGCGUAUACCCGGGCAAUAAACAAGGCUCGUGUAGUCUGGGUAGAUUUUAAUAUGGACGCCCUCGCAAGCGGUUUCGCGUCCGAUCUAAAGGGGCGUUUCUUCGACCCUUUGUCAACCGACAACCGACGCCGCUGCAUCUUAUCACGAUCGAACGGAUCCCACCACUCUGAUUACAGCCAGUAAGACGCUAGCGAAAUUAUUUUAUUCACUUCGACUCGAGCAGUCAGCCGCGGAGAAAACUGGCGACGGACGAAUAGGAACGAAGAAUACUCCGCAGGCAUUUUACCGAGACGACUGUUCGACGCAACCGUUGCCCACGGCGGGACCGCGUGUGCAUCGCAGUGUAGUGCAAUGGAAAGAACAAGAAGAAAAUAUUCCUCGUGAAAGAAGCCAAGGAAGAACCCGAUGGAGGAGCCUUGGGGAGGGUUGUAUACAAUAUAAUUACAGAGGGCAACGCAGUGGCUAGACCUACUCCAGCAACCGUGGCCCAAGGCGUCAGCAUACUCGAAAUCGGCGGGCCUGCUCUGCUACGUGGAGAAACCUAAUGUAUUCGUGCCCCAGGUGUCGAUGGAAUAUCCCCUUUUGCAGGAUCCCGAAGUCUGGUGACUUCGAAGAAAGAGACGGACUAAAAAAGAUGCUAAGGAUAACAAAAUGGCGACCAAACGAAAUUGGAACAUCCAUUAGACAUUCGUAACGGCUGGACACUCGACUCGAUUGACCUAAUCGAAUCUGCUCGAUCACUACGAAAAUAACCUGACCGUAUGGAACAACGAGUGAAACGUUCUGAACUUAAAAAUUAACUGGUAAACGACCUUUGACCUUUCUCAUACGUAUCUAACCAUGCGUAAAGUUCCCGGCAAAAUGUCGGAAAUAUUCGAAAAAUUUUAGGCCACGAACCCGGAAUGGAGGCAAUCCGGUUGAUCUCAGCAACGCCCACCGCAACGCCCGUCUUGUAUUGCAUCACGAUCACACACGAUCGACGCCGCUUUUUCUACGAUGUAUAAGAUAUAAUCAAAAUUCUGGAAAAAAUAUAGUAAAACCUGUUACACGGGUUGGAGAUAGGCUGAUACUUUGUACGGGGUGGUCGCCGAAGAAUCAAUACGGAUGAUCUCAUUUAAUUGCAAUUUCAAAGUCGAUCUAUUAUUAUUUACAAUUAAAUCAUCAUUUUACACGAUCGAUAGUAAUUCGCAUUGCAUAACGAGUACUGCUAGCAUUAACCAUAAUAAUAUGUCUACAUAUAUACAAGAGCGUCCAUAUUAAAUUUUUUCAAAUUUAUAUUCCUUUCCAUUUCCGAACACUAUAUAUAUAUACACAACACUAUAUACACACCUAUUUAUCUUAUGCGCAUAACAAUAAAGGCA